AGGACAGAACAGAGAAAAGCAAGUGUCGAUCCUUUCCAGAACAGCCAGUAUGACUAGAAAUCAAAGAGAAGUGAAGAUGAGCUGCCAAGAUGUGGAAUGGACAAAAAUUGCAUAAGAAAUUGUUCACUGUACAAGAAAGAAGAUGUAGUGGUUGCCCCCUGCAGAACUGAGAACUUGUGGGCUAGAUCUAUCCCCAGACUACUUUACUGAUGAGUAUGCCUACUACCAUAUGCAAGAACAAGAUUUUAUGCUGAGUAAGUGCACUUUAUUCUGAGCAGAUGAAUGAUUAUUACAGUGACAGCUGGGCACCUUCCUAAAAGCUAAUAAAUAAAUAAAUAAAUAAAUAAAUAAUCACUCAGACUGU